ACAUGUCCCUCUAUACAACAGGUACAAGGCUCAGGAUGUGGAAUUCCCAUCUUUGGGUGAUAAUGCCAAUUUGUACCAGAGAAAACAACAAAACCAAAACUAGAAAAGCCUUCUCCCCGUAACAAGUCUACAUACUCAAAGAAGAGGAGACAGGUACUAGAUGUUGAUGACUUCUCCCUGCAGGGAAAUGAAUGCCUAGUAUGUGCCAUGCAGAUCGUCUUCUUAGAGAACUCUGCUGCAUCCCUGGGACUUGGGUGAAGGACGUCACCAUGAAACUAUCAAGCAUGGUACGAUCAACAGACCAUUACCCAUUACUGCUUUACCAAGAGGAUAGUGAUGAAGAAGUUACAAGCAGUGUAAAGGUCAUCAGAAGGGACUCCGGAACCUCGGAAAACUGCCUGAAGAAACUGAGAGUACAGAACAUCUUUUUCCUGCUUCCUAUACUGGGAGAUUUCAGCCACCUGGAUGUCUGACUGGAAUACAUGACUGCAGACUACAAUCAAUACUAAAGAUUCUUGAAGUAUGUUGAGUAUAAUUUUGUAGUGCAGGUAUGAGAUAAGCUGACCCGCAGAGAAACAUUUCUGAACCUGGUGCUCACCAUUGCAGAGGAAGUCAUUAAGGAUGUUACGAUCAGAGGCAGUGUGGACUGUAUUGACCAUGAUCUAACAGAGUUUGUGAUCCUGAGGAGGAUGUGUCCGCCAAAGAAGCAAAGUCAGGAUCCUAAACAACAGGAGAUCAAACGUCAAUCUAUUAUAAGGAAUUACUAGACAAGAUACCCUGAGAUGAUUGGCUGGGCAAGGACCUUCUGGUGAAACUGAGGGAUAAGAAAGACAUGCAGGGAAACUCUGGAAUUCUGGGUUAAUUCUUCAGAUCAUUUGGAUACCAGCAUGCAAAAAAAGUACUGCAAGACAAACAAGAAUGGGAUCAUGCACUGUACAAGUUAACUUAUAAACACUGCUGAAAUAUGUACUGUAUUUGCACAAUAAAUGCAAGGUGAUUUAUUCCUCUCUCC
ensembl:lncRNA